UACGUAGGGUCCGAGCGUUGUUCGGAAUUAUUGGGCGUAAAGGGCGCGUAGGCGGUGCGGUAAGUCUGCAGUGAAAUCUCUGGGCUCAACUCAGAGUCUGCUGUAGAAACUGCCGUGCUUGAGUGUGGGAGAGGUGAGUGGAAUUCCCGGUGUAGCGGUGAAAUGCGUAGAUAGUCGGGAGGAACACCAGUGGCGAAGGCGAUCUUCUGGACGGAGUACUGA
rnacentral:rRNA from 1 species